UACAGAGGGUGCAAGCGUUAAUCGGAAUUACUGGGCGUAAAGCGCGCGUAGGUGGUUUGUUAAGUUGAAUGUGAAAGCCCCGGGCUCAACCUGGGAACUGCAUCCAAAACUGGCAAGCUAGAGUACGGUAGAGGGUGGUGGAAUUUCCUGUGUAGCGGUGAAAUGCGUAGAUAUAGGAAGGAACACCAGUGGCGAAGGCGACCACCUGGACUGAUACUGACGCUCAGGCACGAAAGCGUGGGGAGCAAAAGGG
rnacentral:rRNA from 1 species